rnacentral:tRNA from 1 species
GUUAGAGAAGUGCAUAGGUUAGCAUAUUAGGCUCAUGACCUGAAGAUUGUAGGUUCAAAUCCUGCCUCUAACA